rnacentral:rRNA from 1 species
AUACGGAGGGUGCAAGCGUUAAUCGGAAUUACUGGGCGUAAAGCGCGCGUAGGCGGUUAGAUAAGUCGGAUGUGAAAUCCCUGGGCUCAACCUGGGAACUGCAUUCGAUACUGUCUAACUAGAGUAUGGUAGAGGGAAGUGGAAUUCCGGGUGUAGCGGUGAAAUGCGUAGAUAUCCGGAGGAACAUCAGUGGCGAAGGCGACUUCCUGGACCAAUACUGACGCUGAGGUGCGAAAGCGAGGGGAGCAAACAGGAUUAGAUACCCUAGUAGUCC